rnacentral:tRNA from 1 species
GAGAGAGGCACGAAGCUAAUAGAGGCUGCUAACCCCUAAACCUGCGGUUUAACCCCGCAGCUCACUCG